AUUGGAAGGACUGAUGUUGAAGCUGAAAUUCCAGUACUUUGGCCACCUGAUGCGAAAAGCUGACUCAUUUGAAAGGACCCUGAUGCUGGGAAAGAUUGAAGGAAGGAGGAGAAGGGGACAACAGAGGGUGAGAUGGUUGGAUGGCAUCACUGACUCAAUGGACAUGAGUUUGGGAAUGACAUCUGGAAAUCCGACAAGCAUCUUUUAACCCAGAAGGUUACUAAAGAUUGCUGUGCAGAAAUACAGGAAGUUGGGCUUUUCUGGUGGCACAACGGAUGGAAGUCUGCCUGCUGAUGCAGGGGACAUGGGUUCGAUCCUUGGUCCAGGAGGAUUCCACAAGCCAAGGAGCAACUAUGCCCAUGAGCCUUUGCUCUAGAGCCCUCGAGCCACAACUACAGGACCCAUGUGCUGGAACAUGAAGCUUAUGUGUUGCAGCUACUGAAGCCUGCAUGGCUAGAGCCUGUGCUCCACAGCAAGGGAAACCAUCACGAUGAGAAGCCCAUGCACAGCCACAAAGAGUAGCCCCCACUCACCACAGCUAGAGAAAGCCUGCACCCAGCAAUGAAGACCCAGUGC
ensembl:lncRNA